rnacentral:tRNA from 1 species
GCAUUGGUGGUAUAGUGGUGAGCAUAGCUGCUUUCCAAGCAGUUGACCCGGUUCGAUUCCCGGCCAAUGCA